AACGAACGCUGGCGGCAUGCCUAACACAUGCAAGUCGAACGAGACCUUCGGGUCUAGUGGCGCACGGGUGCGUAACGCGUGGGAACCUGCCCUUAGGUUCGGAAUAACUCCCCGAAAGGGGUGCUAAUACCGGAUAAUGUCUUCGGACCAAAGAUUUAUCGCCUUUGGAUGGGCCCGCGUUGGAUUAGCUAGUUGGUAGGGUAAAAGCCCACCAAGGCGACGAUACAUAGCUGGUCUGAGAGGAUGAUCAGCCACACUGGGACUGAGACACGGCCCAGACUCCUACGGGAGGCAGCAGUGGGGAAUAUUGGACAAUGGGCGAAAGCCUGAUCCAGCAAUGCCGCGUGAGUGAUGAAGGCCUUAGGGUUGUAAAGCUCUUUUACCCGGGAUGAUAAUGACAGUACCGGGAGAAUAAGCUCCGGCUAACUCCGUG
rnacentral:rRNA from 1 species